AUACUUGCCUGGCAGGGGAGACACCACGAUCAUGAAGGUGGUUUUUCCAGAGGGAGGCUCAUCCACUGCACUCUGGGUGUGCUAACCCCUGUGAUUUCCCCCAAUGCGCGAAACUCGACUGCAUAAUUUGUGCUAGUGGGGGACUACAUUCACGCUUUCCCCUG
rnacentral:snRNA from 1 species